CAAGUACUCCCUCUGUCCCAAAUUUCUUGUCUUAGAUUUGUCUAGAUACGGAUGUAUCUAAUACUAAAAUGUGACUUGAUACAUCCAUAUCUAGACAAAUCUAAGACAAGAAUUUUGGGACGGAGGGAGUACAUU
rnacentral:pre_miRNA from 1 species